AGAGUUUGAUCCUGGCUCAGGACGAACGCUGGCGGCGUGCCUAAUACAUGCAAGUUGAACGCUGAAGACUGGUACUUGUACCAGUUGGAUGAGUAGCGAACGGGUGAGUAACGCGUGGGUAACCUACCUCUUAGCGGGGGACAACUAUUGGAAACGAUAGCUAAUACCGCAUAACAAUACUUAACACAUGUUAAGUAUUUGAAAGCACCAAUUGGUGCACUAAGAGAUGGACCCGCGUUGUAUUAGCUAGUUGGUAGUG
rnacentral:rRNA from 1 species